ACGGAAGGCACAGUGGGGAAUAUUGGGCAGUGGGCGCAAGCCUGACCCAGCAACGCCGCGUGAAGGAAGAAGGCUUUCGGGUUGUAAACUUCUUUUGUCAGGGAACAGUAGAAGAGGGUACCUGACGAAUAAGCCACGGCUAACUACGUGCCAGCAGCCGCGGUAAUACGUAAGUGGCAAGCGUUGUCCGGAUUUACUGGGUGUAAAGGGCGUGCAGCCGGGCUGGUAAGUCAGAUGUGAAAUCUGGAGGCUCAACCUCCAAACUGCAUUUGAAACUGCUGGUCUUGAGUACCGGAGAGGUUAUCGGAAUUCCUUGUGUAGCGGUGAAAUGCGUAGAUAUAAGGAAGAACACCAGUGGCGAAGGCGGAUAACUGGACGGCAACUGACGGUGAGGCUCGAAAGCAUGGGUAGCGAACAGGAUUAGAUACCCUGGUA
rnacentral:rRNA from 1 species